rnacentral:rRNA from 1 species
GGAGGCAGCAGUGGGGAAUAUUGCACAAUGGGCGCAAGCCUGAUGCAGCCAUGCCGCGUGUGUGAAGAAGGCCUUCGGGUUGUAAAGCACUUUCAGCGAGGAGGAAGGGUAGUGUGUUAAUAGCACAGUGCAUUGACGUUACUCGCAGAAGAAGCACUGG